rnacentral:rRNA from 1 species
ACGAACGCUGGCGGUAUGCCUAACACAUGCAAGUCGAACGCCCGCAAGGGAGUGGCGAACGGGUGAGUAACGCGUAGGUAACGUUUCUUAAAGUUGGGGAUAAGCACGGGAAACUGUGUCUAAUACCGGAUGUGGACGCAAGUCUAAAGCCUAUGGGCGCUUUAAGGUCGGCCUGCGUUGUAUUAGCUAGUUGGUGAGGUAACGGCUCACCAAGGCGACGAUACAUAGCGGAUCUGAGAGGGUGAUCCGCCACACUGGGACUGAGAUACGGCCCAGACUCCUACGGGAGGCAGCAGUGAGGAAUAUUGCGCAAUGGAGGCAACUCUGACGCAGCAAUACCGCGUGAACGAAGAAGGUCUAUGGAUUGUAAAGUUCUGUCGGGAGGGAAGAACGAGUCGGUUAGAAGCUGACUGUGACGGUACCUCCAAAGGAAGCACCGGCUAACUCCGU